rnacentral:rRNA from 1 species
UACGUAGGGGGGCAAGCGUUGUCCGGAUUUAUUGGGCGUAAAGAGCGUGUAGGCGGCUGGGGUAGGUCCGUUGUGAAAACUCGAGGCUCAACCUCGAGACGUCGGUUGAAACCACCUGGCUAGAGUCCGGAAGAGGAGUGUGGAAUUCCCGGUGUAGCGGUGGAAUGCGCAGAUAUCGGGAGGAACACCCGUGGCGAAAGCGGCACUCUGGGACGGUACUGACGCUGAGACGCGAAAAGCGUGGGGGAGCAAACAGG